CAUUUGCAAGGAGAUGGAAUCCUCCAGCGCUCUCUGGGCCGAACUUUCUAAUGAAUGAUGAUUCCUGCUUGGAG
rnacentral:ncRNA from 2 species